rnacentral:rRNA from 1 species
GACGAACGCUGGCGGCGUGCUUAACACAUGCAAGUCGAACGGAAAGGCCCUGCUUUUGUGGGGUGCUCGAGUGGCGAACGGGUGAGUAACACGUGAGUAACCUGCCCUUGACAUUGGGAUAACUUCAGGAAACUGGGGCUAUUACCGGAUAGGAGCUCCUGCUGCAUGGUGGGGGAUGGAAAGUUUCGGCGGUUGGGGAUGGACUCGAGGGUUCUCAGCUUGUUGGUGGGGUUGGGGCUUACCAAGGCUUUGACGGGUAGCCGGCCUUAGCGGGUGACCGGCCACAAGGGUACUGAGAGACGGCCCAGACGCGAACGGUCGGCAACAGUGGGGAAUAUGGCAGAGUAGGGGGGAGCCUGAGACGACGAUGCCGGGUGCGGGAAGACGUCCUUCGAGUUGUGAACAGCUGUCGACUGAGACAAGGCGGUAUUGACGGUAAUUAGUAAGAAAGCACCGGCUAACUACGUG